rnacentral:rRNA from 1 species
AUUGAACGCUGGCGGCAGGCCUAACACAUGCAAGUCGGACGGUAGCACAGAGAGCUUGCUCUCGGGUGACGAGUGGCGGACGGGUGAGUAAUGUCUGGGAAACUGCCCGAUGGAGGGGGAUAACUACUGGAAACGGUAGCUAAUACCGCAUAACGUCUUCGGACCAAAGUGGGGGACCUUCGGGCCUCACACCAUCGGAUGUGCCCAGAUGGGAUUAGCUAGUAGGUGGGGUAAUGGCUCGCCUAGGCGACGAUCCCUAGCUGGUCUGAGAGGAUUACCAGCCACACUGGAACUGAGACACGGUCCAGACUCCUACGGGAGUCAGCAGUGGGGAAUAUUGCACAAUGGGCGCAAGCCUGAUGCAGCCAUGCCGCGUGUAUGAAGAAGGCCUUCGGGUUGUAAAGUACUUUCAGCGGGGAGGAAGGCGAUGAGGUUAAUAACCGCAUCGAUUGACGUUACCCGCAGAAGAAGCACCGGCUAACUCCGUGCCAGCCGCCGCAGUAA